rnacentral:rRNA from 1 species
CAAUAGCGUAUAUUAAAGUUGUUGCGGUUAAAAAGCUCGUAGUUGGAUUUCUGCCGAGGACGACCGGUCCGCCCUCUGGGUGAGUAUCUGGCUCGGCCUGGGCAUCUCCUUGGAGAACGUAACUGCACUUGACUGUGUGGUGCGGUAUCCAGGACUUUUACUUUGAGGAAAUUAGAGUGUUUCAAGCAGGCACACGCCUUGAAUACAUUAGCAUGGAAUAAUAAUAUAGGACCUCGGUUCUAUUUUGUUGGUUUCUAGAGCUGAGGUAAUGAUUAAUAGGGAUAGUUGGGGGCAUUCGUAUUUAACGGUCAGAGGUGAAAUUCUUGGAUUUGUUAAAGACGGACUACUGCGAAAGCAUUUGCCAAGGAUGUUUUCAUUGA